UACAGAGGGGGCAAGCGUCGUCCGGAUUCAUUGGGCGUAAAGAGCGUGUAGGCGGCCAGGUAGGUCAGCUGUGAAAACUGGAGGCUCAACCUUCAGACGUCGGCUGAAACCAUCUGGCUAGAGUCCGGGAGAGGAGAGUGGAAUUCCUGGUGUAGCGGUGAAAUGCGCAGAUAUCAGGAAGAACACCCGUGGCGAAAGCGGCUCUCUGGAACGGUACUGACGCUGAGACGCGAAAGCGUGGGGAGCGAACAGG
rnacentral:rRNA from 1 species